rnacentral:rRNA from 1 species
GCGGACGGGUGAGUAACACGUGGGCAACCUGCCCUGCAGAUCGGGAUAACUCCGGGAAACCGGUGCUAAUACCGAAUAGUUUUUUGCCCCUCCUGGGGCGAAACGGAAAGACGGUUUCGGCUGUCACUGCAGGAUGGGCCCGCGGCGCAUUAGCUAGUUGGUGAGGUAAUGGCUCACCAAGGCGACGAUGCGUAGCCGACCUGAGAGGGUGAUCGGCCACACUGGGACUGAGACACGGCCCAGACUCCUACGGGAGGCAGCAGUAGGGAAUCUUCCGCAAUGGACGAAAGUCUGACGGAGCAACGCCGCGUGAGUGACGAAGGUUUUCGGAUCGUAAAACUCUGUUGUAAGGGAAGAACACAUGCCAUUUAACUGAUGGCAUCUUGACGGUACCUUACCAGAAAGCCACGGCUAACUACGUGCCAGCAGCCGCGGUAAUACGUAGGUGGCAAGCGUUGUCCGGAAUUAUUGGGCGUAAAGCGCGCGCAGGCGGUCCUUUAAGUCUGAUGUGAAAGCCCACGGCUCAACCGUGGAGGGUCAUUGGAAACUGGAGGACUUGAGUGCAGAAGAGGAAAGUGGAAUUCCACGUGUAGCGGUGAAAUGCGUAGAGAUGUG